rnacentral:rRNA from 1 species
UACGUAGGGUGCGAGCGUUGUCCGGAAUUAUUGGGCGUAAAGAGCUCGUAGGCGGCCUGUUGCGUCCGCUGUGAAAGCCCGGGGCUUAACCCCGGGUCGGCAGUGGAUACGGGCAGGCUAGAGGUAGGUAGGGGAGAAUGGAAUUCCCGGUGUAGCGGUGAAAUGCGUAGAUAUUGGAAAGACCACCGAUGGCGAAGGCACUCUACUGGGCCAUUACUGACACUGAGAGACGAAAGCUAGGGGAGCAAAUGGG